UCCAAAUCAGAUCACCAUACUGAAAAGGACAAAAGAAGUAGAAAGAGAGAGUAUUAAUAAGAUUCCAAGAAGGCAUAAUAUAGUACCAUAUGAAGAAAGAUUGGCAAAUUAUAUGAAGGUUAGAAAAAAGAUUUUUGGUGGUAAAGGAAUUCACAGUAAGGAUACAAUAAGUAGUGGUAUAAAUGAGCUAAUGCCCUUUACCAUCAUUACUGACCACGCAAGCCUGAAGUGGUUGAUGUCAUUGCGAGAUUUAAACGGUAGAUUAGCGAGAUGGGCUUUACAACUUCAGAUGUUUGAUUUUAAAAUAGAACACAAGAAGGGUUCUGAAAAUAUAGUUGCGACAACUUGUCGAGGUUAGUAGAAGAGAUACUGAUGCCUGAAGACGUGGUAGGAUUCGAUACUGUGGAGUUUGAGUCAGAAACUUAUUUAGAAAUGAUCAAAACUAUCCUCGAAAAUAAAGAAAAAUUUCCAGAUAUAAAAGUAGAACAUGGAUUUGUUUUUAAGCGUACAGCUCCACGAGCUGAUAUGGAAUUGGAAGAAUAUGAGUUUAAACUCUGGGUACCAGAAAAUUUAACAACCACUCUUAUUAAAACGGCUCAUGAACCUGAGGAUAAAUCCCAUGGGGGUAUAAAGAAGACAUUAGGUCACCUACGACUAAAAUACUACUGGCCUAACAUGGCAAUACACGUCCGGAAUUUUGUAAAGAACUGCAAUAUUUGUCGGAAAUGCAAAAGUUCGAAUAAACAUAUGAUGCCCCAAAUAGGAAAUGAAGUUCAGACUGACCGACCGUUCCAGAAGCUGUACGUGGACUUUCUGGGAAAGUAUCCUCGGUCCCGUAAAGGAAACGCAUAUGUCUUAGUGGUGGUUGACCAUCUAACAAAAUUUGUUUUUCUAAAACCGAUGAAAGAAGCUACCAGCAAGAAUGUAAUAUCCUUUUUAAUUGAAAAUGUGUUUCAACAGUUUGGUGUGCCGGAAGUCAUACAUACAGACAAUGGUAAACAAUUUGUAUCCAAGGAUUUUGAAAAACUAAUGGAGGGAUUUAAAAUAGCCCAUUUGAAAACAGCAUUUUACUCGCCUCAAUCAAAUGCGGCGGAAAGAGUAAACCAAAGCGUGUUAAAUGCUAUACGCUCUUACUUAGAUAAUGACCACACCAAUUGGGACUUAAACCUUGCUAAAAUCGAAUUGGCUUUAAGAACCUCUGUUCACUCAGCGACGGCGUGACACCAUUUUUUGCUCUUUUUGGGCAUAACAUGUUCACCUGUGGCAGAGAUUACAAACUUGCAAGAAAAUUAAAAGCUCUAAGCGAUGGGGAGUUACUAAUUCUGGAUAAAGACGAUAGAGUUAGUAUAAUUAGGGUCAUUAUUAAACAAAAUUUACACAAUGCGUAUGAAAGAAGUGCACUACGGUAUAAUAGAAAGGCCAGAAUAGUACGGUUUCGUCCGGGUCAGGAGGUAUUUAAAAGAAAUUGAGCAAGUUUCAGGAUAACAGAAAUGCCAAAUUCUGUAGAAAAUUUACCAAAUGUCGAGUCGCAGAAGUUCUAGGGAAUAAUAUGUAUCGGCUGGAAUCAUUAAAAGGGGAUCCUCUUGGCGUCUAUCACGCUAAAGACAUUAAGCAAUAAAUAAUGAAAGACAAAUAAACAGAAGAUUACUCUAAUGGCAAUAUUUCUGUACGUGCAAUAUUAGAUUAAGUUGUGUUUCGGUCUUUAAUUAUUUAUUUAAAAUUAUUAUUUUUCUAAAUGUACAGUGUUUAAUGUUCCCUCUGUGAUAGCAUAUACAUAUUUAUACUCAAGAACAACUAUGAUAUUUUAUUAGGAUAAAUCCGUUUAGUCGUAAGAUAAAAUUCCCUUCUUAAGUAUUUUGUUUUAAUGCCCGGCUAACUCCUGCUAAAAGCUUUACAGUCUUUUCCAAGGUUCAGUAUAGUGUGAGGGAGAAAUAAAAAUGUGGGUGUAGCCUACGUUGGGCGCAUCGAACCAGAAAGGCCAUUAAUGAAGUUGCAAUGAAGUUUCCUAGUCGGGAAAAGUAAUGGCUAUCUUGUGCUUAUGGAUUGCAUAAGUACUUGUUAGCGAUUAUUUUUCUCUAAUAUUCUGCAGAUAGUUUUAAUAUUAAUGAUUAGUAUGAAACAAGGGCAUUGUUUUGGUCCUUGUUUCUUAAUCUGUAGGUUAACUUAACAUUAAGAAAAUUGUAACCUCAUGGGUGAAGCUCUCCAGGGUAAUCGAAUGUAGGAGCAAAUUAAAAGAUGACAAUAAGUCCAGUAAUACUUUAGUGUAUGAAACAAUUCAGGAAACUUUGCGAAUAUCGCUUUGCGAAUAUCGUUUGAUUUAAGGAAAUUGUAAUAUUGUUAUAAACUAAUGACAGUGCAAUUUAAUUUAGUGUAGUGUAGAGUAUAUAAAAGGACUAGGAAACAAAUAUUGUAAGGAAUUUAAGGAAAUAAUGACCAAUAGGUGGACAUUCCUUAUGACCCUCAUACUGUGGUUUCGUCAGUUUCCUUGGAAACCCCAGAGUUUUGUUGAGGGUAACAGUGAGAUAGUAAACGACAGCUGGAAUUAAGGAAAAGGGACGGGUAGGAGAUUGGGGGACAACAUUCCGAUUUUCUCGGCAUAAGCAACAGACAAGCUAGACAGUAUAUAUGUUUCAGUUAAGCAGAGUCGACUGUAACGCUGGUUAACAUAAUUGGGUACCUUAGCCCAAUCCGAAUAUUUUAAAUACCUGAAGGUGACGGAUACCAUCCAGGCUUAUGGUAGAAGGGCAGGAGUCCAAAUUGUGUGCAGCACCUGGUUUUCAAGCCGUAUCUCCUGGUACGCAUCACAUGAUGCAAUUUUCAUGAGGGUGGGAAGAUGUGUGCUCAGCCGGUGCUUUGAACGCGAGCAAAAUUGAAUUGCUGGUUUGGGGUUUCUUUUUUUCUGCCCACAAUAUUUUUACUUCGCCUUAGAAUGCGAGCAGAAUAUAUUUGCUUGUUGGGGUUUUUUUUUUCUGCCCGCGAUAUUUUUUUAUUUUUAUAUUUGUCCGUAUUAAUUUUAUUGCAGUCACCAGUACCAAGUGGUGGUAUGAAAACAGCGUGUUUUCGAAGUCGAGUGGCUUGAACGCGUAAAUCAGCAUGUUGACUAUGCAAAACAUGAUGAGAGCCAUCUGGAAAAAAAGACAAAACUAACUUUUCGUUGUCUAUAUCUUCAUUUGUUUAUGUAAAUACACACCAAGUUCCACUUGGCGUCCACCGGCUGAGAGUGGUGAUAGAGUCCACCGACUGAGAGCAUAGACAAAUGAAGAUAUAGACAACGAAAAGUUAGUUUUGUCUUUUUUUCCAGAUGGCUCUCAUCAUUUUUGCAUAGUCAACAUGCCGAUUUACGCGUUCAAGCCACUCGACUUCGAAAACACAUUUUAUCGUUUUUCAAGAAUUUCACUGGAAUAUUCCCAUAUUUUUCGAUGUCAUCACGUACUUUUCACAUUUCUUUUAUUAUGAAAUAAUUUUCAACUGACAAAUAUCCUACAGUUUUUGUUAUUUUUAACAUUUUUGAAUUGAGUGACUUCAAAAUUCCCACUCAAACCCCUGUAACGAUAUGGACGACAUCUGCUUAUCCGAUUUUUUCGAAGAUAAACGGUGAGAGCAUUUCGUUGUCUAUAUUUUCAUUUGUCUAUGCUGAGAGUUUUGGAAGAGUGGAUCCAAAAAAAAAAAAAAAAACAGCUAAGUGAUAGCAUAUUUUAAGGAGUUGCUCGAUAUCGGCGAGUUUAUAUUUUGUUGUGCGUCUGUGUGUGUCCUAGUUAGCUUUCUGUUACUUUUAAGAUUUUAUAUAUAUUUUUUUUUGUUUGCUUAUUUUAAUUUUAAUAAUAUAUUUUGUAACUAAAUGAAUUGCAUUAGGGAUCUACUCUUAGACAAGGCAAGUUAGUCCAUUAGAAAUAAUUACUAGGAGGAGCUCUAACUGGUGAGGAAUUUCUAAAGUAGGACAUAACAAAAUUAAGGUUAGACCCAGGCAAAUUUUCAAAUUCAUUUUUUUUAUUAUUUUCCAAUGUGUUAAAAAAAGGCAAUGCAUUAUUAUACAGUAAAUUUAAUUUCAUAAUUUUAAAGUUUUUUUUUAUUAUUAAAUAUUUGUAGUUAAAUCUGAAAAGAAAAAGAAAACAAAUUUCAUGAUAGAAAAUUAAUAUUAUUUAAAUUAGUAUGUCUAAGCAUUUUAAUAUGUAAUAAAUGUAAGAUUAGUAUUGAAAAUGAUGUGUUAGUUUGUCUUGAAGGAAGGGGAAAAGGGAUAAGGAUGGAUAUGUAGCGGCAAAGGAAUAGAUGUCGUUGGUGCUGAAAAAAGGGGUUCUGAGGAACAUUAGGUUGGGUGGGUGAUGAAGGGGGCUCGUAUUCUAGACCCCCGAAAAUGUUGGUUAUUGGUUCAAAUUGUUUUAGUAUGUUUAGUCCAUUUUGUUGCAGUUUUUCGUUUACUUGUUAUGCCCUCAAGUGUCUUAGUGUUGCUGAACCACGACCCAUUUACAAAUUAGCCGGGACCGACACGUUUUGAAGGAGGAAACAUAACAAUUAAUAAAAAUGGCUCAAUUCGAAAAAAGGUGAGUAAACAUACUAAUAUAACCAAGAAUAAUGUUUUAUAGUUUUAGGUAUCCGUAAAACUCCCAACAAAUGGAGUAUAAUAAGUGAACGAGCUUUGUUGGAAGUGUGGGGUUUAUUUAUGAGUCAGCUACGUGGAUGUCGAAAAAAUAGCCACAUUCUUCAAGAAAUGGCGUCCGAACUUGGGAAACAUGGGUUUUCGUAUACAUCACACCAAAUAAAAACCAAGAUGCACAACAUGGCUGCGAGACUUAGGAAGGAAAAGCGUCUAGUUGGUACAACCGGAGGUCCACCAUCAGAUUGGGAGCUAUAUAAAGAAAUGGAAAUGUUGCUAGCACCUUGCAAGACCUAUAAUACUGAGUUGCUUGUUUUGGACAGUGUCAAUGAUAUUGAUGCCAUAUUGACAUGUGAAAUGUCCAACAUUGAAAACUCCCCACCCUCACCAAUCAUUCCUAGUUCCUCUUCACAAUUAAAUAUAAUGCUAGGAACACAAUUGGAGCGAACGACGAAUUUCGCCCUACGCGGCGACAAAAUGAGCCGCGAAAAUUCGUCGUAUGGAACACAAUACCGACGAAAUUAUAAAACAGCUGAUGAAGUUGUUUACUUUUUGCUCAUUUGUUGACUACAAUGAAUUAUACAAGAACACAUAAUUCUUUACGUUCUCUAUUAUAAUUUCACUUAUGUCCAUCUUCUCUAUUAUAAAUUCACUGAUAUCCAUCUUCACUCAGGCGCAAGUACACAAAUAAAUAAACAAAUUAAUUAUGUUUUUUUUAUACGAGUAACAGAUAGUAGAGUGACCAUAACAAAUUUUAAAGUAAAAAGUAACUUUAUUUACUAAAACACAUAAAAUUCGUACAAGUAUGGCCACCUUGUACUGUUUUGUUCGCCGGUCGCCGGCGUAUGAAAUAGAAAUAAAGCUAAUUGAGUUCGCGGCGACCGACGAAAUUUUCGCCGGUGCCGUGAUUGUGUGCACUUCCAUAUACACAUAUAUGUUUUAUUUUUGACGACGAACAUACGCCGCGAAAAAAUUCGUCGUUCGCUCCAAUUGUGUUCCUAGCAUAACUGAGCUAUCGUCAGAAUUGUCA